UAAAAGGCUCUUUUAAGAGCCACCCAAGAUAUCUCUGAAAGAGCGU
rfam:Alligator mississippiensis ScZkoYb_5, whole genome shotgun sequence.